AUAAAAAAAGCCUGCAGUUGAUAAAACAACUGCAGGUUCUUUUUAUUUCCCGAUUCGGAAAAUAAAAAGAUAAAGGGAGAGGAGAAACCGGAGGAAGAACUUAUGGGGAAAAGUAAGUCUUCUCCGUAU
rfam:Gracilibacillus halophilus YIM-C55.5 contig_4, whole genome shotgun sequence.